CCCAUGGCUCAGAUUGAACGCUGGCGGCAGGCCUAACACAUGCAAGUCGAGCGGAUGACGGGAGCUUGCUCCUUGAUUCAGCGGCGGACGGGUGAGUAAUACCUAGGAAUCUGCCUGGUAGUGGGGGACAACGUUUCGAAAGGAACGCUAAUACCGCAUACGUCCUACGGGAGAAAGCAGGGGACCUUCGGGCCUUGCGCUAUCAGAUGAGCCUAGGUCGGAUUAGCUAGUUGGUGAGGUAAUGGCUCACCAAGGCUACGAUCCGUAACUGGUCUGAGAGGAUGAUCAGUCACACUGGAACUGAGACACGGUCCAGACUCCUACGGGAGGCAGCAGUGGGGAAUAUUGGACAAUGGGCGAAAGCCUGAUCCAGCCAUGCCGCGUGUGUGAAGAAGGUCUUCGGAUUGUAAAGCACUUUAAGUUGGGAGGAAGGGCAUUAACCUAAUACGUUAGUGUUUUGACGUUACCGACAGAAUAAGCACCGGCUAA
rnacentral:rRNA from 1 species